GGAGCAACGCCGCGUGAGUGAAGAAGGGUUUCGGCUCGUAAAACUCUGUUGUUAAAGAAGAACAUAUCUGAGAGUAACUGUUCAGGUAUUGACGGUAUUUAACCAGAAAGCCACGGCUAACUACGUGCCAGCAGCCGCGGUAAUACGUAGGUGGCAAGCGUUGUCCGGAUUUAUUGGGCGUAAAGCGAGCGCAGGCGGUUUUUUAAGUCUGAUGUGAAAGCCUUCGGCUCAACCGAAGAAGUGCAUCGGAAACUGGGAAACUUGAGUGCAGAAGAGGACAGUGGAACUCCAUGUGUAGCGGUGAAAUGCGUAGAUAUAUGGAAGAACACCAGUGGCGAAGGCGGCUGUCUGGUCUGUAACUGACGCUGAGGCUCGAAAGUAUGGGUAGCAAACAGGAUUAGAUACCCUGGUAGUCCAUACCGUAAACGAUGAAUGCUAAGUGUUGGAGGGUUUCCGCCCUUCAGUGCUGCAGCUAACGCAUUAAGCAUUCCGCCUGGGGAGUACGGCCGCAAGGCUGAAACUCAAAGGAAUUGACGGGGGCCCGCACAAGCGGUGGAGCAUGUGGUUUAAUUCGAAGCUACGCGAAGAACCUUACCAGGUCUUGACAUACUAUGCAAAUCUAAGAGAUUAGACGUUCCCUUCGGGGACAUGGAUACAGGUGGUGCAUGGUUGUCGUCAGCUCGUGUCGUGAGAUGUUGGGUUAAGUCCCGCAACGAGCGCAACCCUUAUUAUCAGUUGCCAGCAUUAAGUUGGGCA
rnacentral:rRNA from 1 species